CGGAAAGGCCCUGCUUGCAGGGUACUCGAGUGGCGAACGGGUGAGUAACACGUGGGUGAUCUGCCCUGCACUUCGGGAUAAGCUUGGGAAACUGGGUCUAAUACCGGAUAGGAGCCAUCUUUAGUGUGGUGGUUGGAAAGUUUUUUCGGUGUAGGAUGAGCUCGCGGCCUAUCAGCUUGUUGGUGGGGUAAUGGCCUACCAAGGCGGCGACGGGUAGCCGGCCUGAGAGGGUGUACGGCCACAUUGGGACUGAGAUACGGCCCAGACUCCUACGGGAGGCAGCAGUGGGGAAUAUUGCACAAUGGGCGCAAGCCUGAUGCAGCGACGCCGCGUGGGGGAUGAAGGCCUUCGGGUUGUAAACUCCUUUCGCUAGGGACGAAGCUUUGUGUGACGGUACCUAGAUAAGAAGCACCGGCUAACUACGUGCCAGCAGCCGCGGUAAUACGUAGGGUGCGAGCGUUGUCCGGAAUUACUGGGCGUAAAGAGCUCGUAGGUGGUUUGUCGCGUCGUCUGUGAAAUUCUGGGGCUUAACUCCGGGCGUGCAGGCGAUACGGGCAUAACUUGAGUGCUGUAGGGGUAACUGGAAUUCCUGGUGUAGCGGUGAAAUGCGCAGAUAUCAGGAGGAACACCGAUGGCGAAGGCAGGUUACUGGGCAGUUACUGACGCUGAGGAGCGAAAGC
rnacentral:rRNA from 1 species